GAUGAACGCUGGCGGCGUGCUUAACACAUGCAAGUCGAACGGAAAGGCCCUGCUUUUGUGGGGUUCUCGAGUGGCGAACGGGUGAGUAACACGUGAGUAACCUGCCCUUGACUUUGGGAUAACUUCAGGAAACUGGGGCUAAUACCGGAUAGGAGCUCCUGCUGCAUGGUGGGGGUUGGAAAGUUUCGGCGGUUGGGGAUGGACUCGCGGCUUAUCAGCUUGUUGGUGGGGUAGUGGCUUACCAAGGCUUUGACGGGUAGCCGGCCUGAGAGGGUGACCGGCCACAUUGGGACUGAGAUACGGACCAGACUCCUACGGGAGGCAGCAGUGGGGAAUAUGGCACAAUGGGCGGAAGCCUGAUGCAGCAACGCCGCGUGCGGGAUGACGGCCUUCGGGUUGUAAACCGCUUUAGCCUGUGACGAAGCGUGAGUGACGGUAAUGGGUAAAGAAGCACCGGCUAACUACGUG
rnacentral:rRNA from 1 species